GACGAUCUGUGGACACAUACACUUUUCUCCAAAGACCUCCACUGAUUAUUUACAAGAAAGAUCGGCUCAGGGGAAAAGACCAGAGAGCUCACCUCUGUAGCAGAGGAAAGCCACGGAAAUAAUUUUCUAUUGACUGGAAACACACAAAACACAGCACACUUCUCUGAGCUCUUUGACUAUAUGAAGCAAAAGCCUUAACCCACUGGAAAAGAAAGGCAAACCUUCCAGCUCCUGGGCUACUUCACCCAGGUAAGAGGUAGGAAAUUAUAUUACCAGUCACCAGAUCCAGGCAAAGAUCCAAUGCUACCGUGGAAUGGUAGACAUAGAAGUCUUCUGUCCUUUGCGAGUGGGACUGAAAUAUCUCUUCUUCUAGGAUCUUGUACCAGUAUAAACAAGUUUGCUAGAGGUGUGGAGAGAGGAAGGUAACUUACUCUUGCCAAGCCUGUCACAGAUUGAAAGCAGAAAAUAGCUGCCAUGCAGUGCCAAGUGUCAGGAAUGACAAAAGAGCCUUCACAAUCCCCAAGUGCAUAAAACCUUCCUAAGAUUGUGGCUUGACGAUAACUGAGAACACUGUAAUAGAGAAGAUUCAUGAUUAUACUGAUAUAUAGAGAAAGAACAUUUGUCAACAUAUAACACUAUCUCAAGCUAAAAACAUCUCAACUAAGUGUAAUAGGAGGAUUCUAUCUUCUUCAAUCUAAUAUAGGACAUCUACUUAGAAAAAAAAUAAAUAACUAAAGCAAAAAUGUCAAAUGAUUCUCCAGGCCCCAACUCCAACAAAACAAAUCACGAAACAAAGAUAUCCUCUCCAGUGAUAUUUAUCCAGUAUUUAAAUUGGAGAACUUAACCAAUUUAUAUAUUUUUAUAUUUAUAACAUAAAUUUUAAAUUUAUAUUUAUAAGGCAAGAAAAGAUAAAUUAAAAAAAGAUUGAAAUGAAAGAAACAAAACCGUCUUUAUUCAUAGAUGAAAUGUUGAGAUUCCGAAGAACCUACAAUGUAGAAAUUAGAAAAAAUAGGUGAUUUUACUAGUAUCACAGGAUACAAGAGCAAAAUACAAAAAUAAAUUGACUCAAAAAUGUGUAAGGAAAAGCAAAUACAGGCAAACCUGAAAAAUAAAUAAAAUCAAAUUUGAGGAACAUUGCACUACCUGGUUCCAAGAUUUAUUCUAAAACCAGGAUAAUCAUGACAAUGUAGUAUUGAAAUAAACAUAGAUAUAUAAUCAAUGGAACAAAAUGUAGCAUCCAGAGGUGGACUCUCAUAUACAUGAUGUCAAGAUAAUAGGAUGAAGAAACAUAGUAAUUACAAAAAAUGAUUCUGGAACACUUCAAAAUUCAGCGCAAGCAAACAAACCUCAGCCAUUCCCAUACUGUGUGUGUAUAUAUAUAUAUAUAUAUAUAUAUAUAUGUAUGCAAAAAUCCAAUCAAAUUAGCUCGAAGGCCUAAAUGUAAAUAAAAACUAUAAAACUCCUAGGAAAAAUUAUAUUAGAAAAUUUUUGUAGCUUUUUUGGGGUUAGACAAAAAUAUCUUAGGUUGGAAAUCAAGAUCACAAAUGAAUUUUUAAAGUAUGAAUUAGACUUCAUUAAAAUGAAAAAUGUUUUUUUAAUUAAUAACAUUUUUACCAAAAUGAAAAGUUAAUCCAAUACUUGGAGAAAAUAUAUGGAGUACAUCUGAUAAAGGACAGACUAUCCAAACUGUAUGCCAAACUCUUACACUCAGUAAUAAAAACAGCCUAAUAAAUAAUGAGCAAAAACUUGAACACUUAACCAAAGAAGACAUUUUAAUGGCAAACAUGCACUCAAAAAGAUGCCCAAUGUCGUUAGUCAAUAUGUAAAUGCAAAUUAAACCUGAAGUAAAUACCACUACUACACAUCUACUAGAAUGGGAGGGGGAAGACGUCCUUAAUAAGUGUGGGACAAGGCAGAGAACAAGUGGAAUUCUCAUGCAUUGCCAACUGUAGGAUGCGAAAUGCCUUUUUAGAUGUUAGCUCCUAGUAGUAGGUUGUCAGACUUGUUGUUCACAUUUCUCCCAGAAAUAGAGGACUAGAAACCCUUCAAUUCUGAUGUUACAUAUAUUUUAUGACUUGUUUACAUAUUCAUUAUACAGAUUAUUAAAAAUAAUGAGAUUUAGAUUGGUAAUAAAUCAUUUGUAAUCUAUUGGAAAUGUAUUCUUCUUAUAUAUCUAUAUGUAACACAUAAUACUUGUUAUCUAUUAAAAUACAUUUAUUGGAAAUGGGUAUUUUGUUAUCUAUUUUAAUUAUCACAGUAUAGAUUUAUAAAACUACUCUAAUAUUUAAUAGUUAUGAGACUUAUAACUAUAGC
rnacentral:lncRNA from 1 species